GAUGAAGAACGUAGCGAAAUGCGAUAAGUAGUGUGAAUUGCAGAAUUCAGUGAAUCAUCGAAUCUUUGAACGCACAUUGCGCCCCUUGGUAUUCCAUGGGGCAUGCCUGUUCGAGCGUCAUUUGUACCUUCAAGCUCUGCUUGGUGUUGGGUGUUUGUCUCGCCUUUGCGUGUAGACUCGCCUCAAAACAAUUGGCAGCCGGCGUAUUGAUUUCGGAGCGCAGUACAUCUCGCGCUUUGCACUCAUAACGACGACGUCCAAAAAGUACAUUUUUACACUCUUGACCUCGGAUCAGGUAGGGAUACCCGCUGAACUUAAGCAUAUCAAUAAUCGGAGGA
rnacentral:misc_RNA from 1 species